rnacentral:rRNA from 1 species
CGAUGAACCUCCUUCGGGAGGGGAUUAGUGGCGAACGGGUGAGUAACACGUGGGCAAUCUGCCCUGCACUCCGGGACAAGCCCUGGAAACGGGGUCUAAUACCGGAUACGACUCUCGCGGGCAUCCGCGAGGGUGGAAAGCUCCGGCGGUGCAGGAUGAGCCCGCGGCCUAUCAGCUGGUUGGUGGGGUAACGGCCCACCAAGGCGACGACGGGUAGCCGGCCUGAGAGGGCGACCGGCCACACUGGGACUGAGACACGGCCCAGACUCCUACGGGAGGCAGCAGUGGGGAAUAUUGCACAAUGGGCGCAAGCCUGAUGCAGCGACGCCGCGUGAGGGAUGACGGCCUUCGGGUUGUAAACCUCUUUCAGCAGGGAAGAAGCGCAAGUGACGGUACCUGCAGAAGAAGCGCCGGCUAACUACGUGCCAGCAGCCGCGGUAAUACGUAGGGCGCGAGCGUUGUCCGGAAUUAUUGGGCGUAAAGAGCUCGUAGGCGGCCUGUCACGUCGGGUGUGAAAGCCCGGGGCUUAACCCCGGGUCUGCAUUCGAUACGGGCAGGCUGGAGUUCGGCAGGGGAGAUCGGAAUUCCUGGUGUAGCGGUGAAAUGCGCAGAUAUCAGGAGGAACACCGGUGGCGAAGGCGGAUCUCUGGGCCGAUACUGACGCUGAGGAGCGAAAGCGUGGGGAGCGAACAGGAUUAGAUACCCUGGUAGUCCACGCCGUAAACGUUGGGCACUAGGUGUGGGAUCCAUUCCACGGGUUCCGUGCCGCAGCUAACGCAUUAAGUGCCCCGCCUGGGGAGUAC